GUAUUUUCUUUUUCUCUCUGUCCAGCCGACAGGUGGGCCCCACCCAGCUGUCUUCCACCUCCAGUUGGUCUCCCGACCGAGAACGCAACCCGCGCGCGUAUCCUGCGCAUGAUCUCACCGAUCCCUCCGAUCCGUCUGCGAUUCGCUCGCAUACGCACAACCCCGCACAGCCGUCGAUCUCCUCUCUCGAUCCCUUGCCUUGCCUCGCACAACCGAGCAGGGAAUCGAGCGCAGCGACCUUGCGGAUCUUCGCCUCGUCGCCGGUACUUCAUCGACGAAAUUCGUCGCCGCCUAUGCUCGGAUUCGAGCUCCCCAGCCAACCCGAUCUCGUCGGAGCUCCCAUCGCCAGCAGCCCCUCCGCCGGCGAAUUUGGCGCCACCAAGGGAGAGAAUCAAACCUAGCACGCCGAGCUUGCCCGGAGCAAAUCACCGCCACCCGUCGCUCCACCCGUACACUGUCAUCGCCUGACGACGCCCCGUCGUCACUGACCUCACAACCUUCUUCUCCGUCACUCUGCGCACCUGCUGGUCCACCCUCCCAGUCGCCUUGGUCCACCGGAGAGGCCACACCGAGAAACGCCAUAGCCACACCGACAUCGGAGCUCCAAACGCCACUGCAGCGCUAGCAGAGGACGCUCACAUCUCCGUCGAAGCUACCAUCGUCUCCGUCAUCGCAAGCUGCAUCCGCCCGUCACCUCAUCUUCGCCGGAGAGCCACCGGAGGAGCGCCGCCACCCACGCCCGAAGCCGUCGCCGUUUUCCCCCUGCUUCGAUUGCUCGGAGCGUGACUAGUAGAAUUAUCAGGAUUGUGAGUGCGACGAUCUUCAUCCAACAUACCAGGCAAG